AUGUUAUGUGUUGUUCAGGUGUCAGCGCUGUGCAAAAUAGGAGGAAGAAACCUCAAGGACAGUGCAAGAAGGAUGCUGGAUAGGGUUUUAAAGAAUUCCCUUAUGUCCAAAUUUAAUAUGAAGGGGGGUGGACCACUGCAGAAGGAGGCAUUUGAGAAGACUGCAUUUGUAUCACUGUGGUGGACUUUCGGCAGCGGCACCAGAUUGGAUGUUGGCAGCUUCACUCGUCCUAAAGUGAGCGUCCUGCCGCCCUCCAUUGAAGAGAUCUCCACAAAGAAAACAGCAACACUGAUGUGUGUGCUCAACAAGGGUUUCCCCUCAGACUGGAGUGUGAUGUGGAAGGUGGACGGGAGCAGCAGAUCUCAGGACAGCAGUGUUGGGCUCCUGCAGGAGGGCGGUCUGUACUGCUGGAGCAGUAGUCUGACUCUCUCUGAGCAGGAGUGGAGCUCAGUGAACUCAGUGAGCUGUGAGGCCAAACACAAAGAUCACAGUCAUACAGUCACUGGAGAAUUCAGGAGAGAUGAUCAGUGUUCACACUAG